AAGGUAGCGUAAUCAUUUGCUUUUUAAUUGAAAGCCUGUAUGAAUGGGGGUUUAAAUUUUCUUUUUUAUUCAAUUAUAUUUGAAUUUGUUUUAUUUUUAAAAAAUUAAAGUUGGAUUUUAAAAGACUAAAAGACCCUUGGAUUUUUAGUUUCUUACAUCUUUUAAAGUUUUUUAAUUAAAUAAAGGUUUGUUUAGGGAUUUUAAUUGGGGUAAUUUUGUAUUUUAAUAUAUUUUAAUAUAUUUUUUGAUCUUUUAUUUUGCUUUUUGUUAAAAUACCCAAGGGGUAACAGCGUAAUUUAUUUGGUUAGUUCUUAUUAAUAAAUUUUAUUGCGACCUCGAUGUUGGUUUGUUUUUCCUUUUUGAGGUAGAAUGUAAAUUAGGAAGUCUGUUCGACUUUUGAAUAAACACAUGAACUGAGUUCAAGUCGGCGUGAGCCAGA
rnacentral:rRNA from 1 species